rnacentral:tRNA from 1 species
GGAAGGGUGGCCGAGUUGGUUAUGGCGCCAUGUUAAGGUCAGCUUAACAUCUGUUUCCUGGUGGGGCAACCCGCGCGAGUUCGAGUCUCGUCCCUUUCA